rnacentral:rRNA from 1 species
UACGUAGGGUGCGAGCGUUAAUCGGAAUUACUGGGCGUAAAGCGUGCGCAGGCGGUUCGUUGUGUCUGCUGUGAAAGCCCCGGUCUCAACCUGGGAAUGGCAGUGGAAACUGGCGAGCUGGAGUGUGGCAGAGGGGGGUGGAAUUCCGCGUGUAGCAGUGAAAUGCGUAGAGAUGCGGAGGAACACCGAUGGCGAAGGCAGCCCCCUGGGCUGACACUGACGCUCAGGCACGAAAGCGUGGGGAGCAAACAGG